UUUGAAAGAAGACAUGGAAGAUAUGUGGAUUCAUCCCAAUGUUAAUAAGGAAUGGAUGAAGUCAGGAGAGAAAAAGGGAAAAGUUCAAUUUUCUCAUGACACAGAGAGGAGGCCUUAUCUUUCCCAUGUGGAACUAAGGGCUCCAGGAAUGGUUCAAUGAUAAGGGAACUCCAAAUUCCGCUACUAGGAAGUCACCAUCUUGGAAUUGAUGAUACCAAAAAUAUUGCAAGAGUGGUACAACACAUGCUUAUAGAUGGUGCUCUUUUGCAAAUUACUGCAAGGAGAUUACGUGGUUCUCCUGAAAAAGUUGAGUUUCUAUUUGAAAAUGGUGGGAGUAUAUUGGCGUCACUUGGUUCCUUUCAGCAAAUGUGGUUUUCAAAAUCUGAGUUUGAGGAACAUGGAGCUUCUAAUGUUCAAAGAAAAUACCCG